rnacentral:tRNA from 1 species
UGAAUUGUAGACUAAUUGGCAAGUCACCUAGAUUUGAGCUAGGCUUAUGUACGUUCGAAUCGUGCCGAUUCAU